ACACAGAAGCUGUAGCUAUAGCAAAUCUGGGGGGCACUGCUGUAACUGAAACCUUCCAAAGCCAAAUGUUUUGGAAGAGCUUCUUGCACUUUUUGUUUUAAAGAACAUUUUUGUGCUUGUUUGUUCAAACUUGGUCUCUUCAGCGAAGGAAUGUUCUCUGGCUCCCUUUCAGCAUGUAUUAUUUCAGUGUCCCUUUAGCUUGAGGAGCUGAAUCAUCAGUUGCUCAUAUGUUCAUGCUUUAGUAGAAAGAUUUAUAGACCUUCUGCUGGGAGUUCUUCCAGAACAAAAGCCUUGGCAGCCUGUCUACAAACUGGAUGCCAGAUGGAUGUACCUGGAGAAUCAAGUCAUUCCUAUUACCACUGAAAUUCCCUGACAAGAAACACUGAAUUUUUUCUGUGCAAGCUCAUGGCUGUCUCCAGUACAGACACUGUCUGAUAUAGGCUUCAGAUCCAUGGCAUCAUCAUCACCAUUCUCUGAGGGUAAUUAGGCCUGACUAAGAACUCAGAUACAUUUCUUCUCCUUCUGCAAACAUCUGACUGCACCUGACACAUCGUGCGCAAGUUGGGUGAUAAUGUUUUUCUCCUGCCUGUUUGGGAAAAAAUGUACAGUUGAGUGAUGAGCAAUAGCUGCUUGUGGAUUGACACUCGAGGGACUAAACCAGAGUGGCCUAGAGCUCAAAGAGUGAACUAAGUACCAGAAAGAAGACUCAAGAUUUCUGAUGACUCUCUCACAAGUGAAGAAUAAGUACAUACCAUCUCACUGCAUUAUUGACUUAGUAAAGUUGUCUGUAAAGGAAAGACAGAAAGUAGACAAAAUCUUUUAAUGUGUUAAUUAAUUAAACUUGUAACUACUUGGUUGCUGUCCUUAUAAUGAAUUUUUUCAGUGAAAUUCCUCCUUUAAAACAACAACAACAACAACAAAAUAUAUCUCAUUAUCAAAAUUCACAAUAGUAACUGACCUCUUUUACUACUGGGAGUAAUGAGCUCAUGUAAAUGGAAAAAAAAAAUGUUAGACUGCGGCAGUCUCAUCUACUGAUACGGGUCUGAAUCCUGUCAUCCUCAUACUCUAAAAUGUUCAGAUGAGGUCCUGAUUGCACCCUAUUCUGGGCAAAGAUAAUGGAAAUCAGCCUGCAAAACACUGAACCUGCUGUUAUGCUAACGCAUGUUGUAGUUGUGAGAACCAGAAACAAAGUCAACAAAAGAUUCAUAUAAAGGAUUCUUCAUUACAGUCCUUUUUCCAUGGUACAAACAGAGUCGGGUCAUCACCAAAAAACCACCUGUUCAAGCAAAGGGAAACAGAAUAAAGCACAAAAAUACCAACAAACAACACCUUUGCAUCAGGUAGCUUCUCACGCUGAGAAGUAUGAAAGCUUUCAUUAACACGUACGGCUUGACACCUGCUAUCUGCUUAAUUGGGAGUUUAUUUAGGUAAUGUAGCGAUGAACAGAAAUUUAAAAUUUCACUUAGAAAAUAAUUUUUUCUCUUUUCUAUACUUAGUCUCCAAUUUUCUUAAUAUUUUCCAUUAACGCGGACUACAUUAAAGGUCACUGAGACUUCUGCAGUUACACUUUGUAAUUCAGCUAAUAGCAAAAACAUCAUUCAGUUUAAAGACAGGAAGCGCAACACAGAAUAAUUGAACAAUUCAGGUUGGAACAGACCUCUAAUGCAACCUCCGUCUCAAAGCAGUGUUGAUGCUCAAUUCAGACUGUUCUGCUCAAGAAUUUGUCCAGUCAGGUUUUGAACACCUUCGAGGAUGGAUACUGUACAGCCAGUAGCAGUGGCAGCCUGCUCCAAUGCUAAGUUAUCCUUGCAGUUAUUAUUUUUUUGCUUUUUAUCUAGUGAGAACUUCCCCUCUUUCAAUUUACGAUAAUUGUUUCCCGUUCUCCCACCAUGAACCUCUGUAAGGAGCUUGUCUCCACAUUCUUGAGGAUCUCAUCAUAGCUAUGGGAAUGCUUGAGGUCAAGCAUGCCCUCAAGUCAUCUCUUUUCUCCAGGCUGAACAAACCAUCUCCCUAAGCCUCAACUCACAGGAGGUGUGCUCCAGACUCCCAGAUAUCAUUGUGGCCCUUCACUGAACUCAUUUCAGCUAUUCAGUGUCUUUUGGUAUGGGAGGGCACAGAACUGAAUGCAGUAUUCUAGAUGUGGGCUAGCAAAUGCUGAAUGAAAGGGAGUAUCUUCAGUCUACUGGGGGUGCUCCUGUUGAAACUGCUCUGUAUGCUGUUGGUCUUAAUUGCUGUCAGGGCACACUGCUCUCCGGUUUAGCCGAUGGUCCACCAGGACCCCAGAUACCUUAUUUGUAUUUCCAAGCACAGAUAAAUUAAUACAAGACAAAAGAAUAAAUCAAGAUGUGCUUCAUUGUACAUCACACUGAAUUAGAACAUAAAAUCAAGAUAUAGCUCUUUGAUAAAUGAAUUCACUACUGUUUUCAACUUAUCUCCAUGGAUUCAUAUAAGUCGAACUGGGGAGAAAAGCAACAUCUUAACACUCGGUAAAGGAAGAUCAUUAUCUAUCGUUUUAAGUUCAGCAUUAAGAAAUAUCUACCUUCACUUAGAAUUUUUACAGAGCACGCAAAUUAAAAAGCUAAACUCCUUUAAUUGAUAUUUAAUUCAUCUUGUUUAUACUUCCUUGUUCAUUCCUAAAAUGACUGUUUUUACUGGGAAAUUAAAUUAUUAUGUGAAUGAACUAUUUUUUUUUUCUUCAGGUGGUAGAAAUGUACAGGAAACUGAUAAUGAAAUACAGGUAUAAAAAGGAACUUCAGAUUUUUAUCUUUAUGAAAUUCAAUCAAGUUUUUAAAUGAGAUACAGCUUUUUAACGUUAAUGAACCCAAACAGCCAUUGCAUUGAUUUAUAGAGGCAAAUGUGUAAUUUCUGUAAGUAAAUGCAGUUCUCUGACUAGCUGAGCUAAAUUUCUAGUUCCCGCUCCCAGAAAUAUACUACUUAUUAUUUAAUUACAGACCGACCUAACAGCACAGAACUAGCCCAGAACAUAUUCCUACCUAGGUAUUCCACCUACCAGGCUGAAAUCAGGACUUUUUAUUGCUUAUUAUUGUUGUUCUGUUUUUAUCUCAAAAGUACCAGGGAGAGGGUGCACAGCACCGUGCCAUCAACUGUUCAGUAGCCACACCCUAAUAACUCUGCCAUUGCAUGUGAUCAUAGCAGCACAGUAUGUGGACUAUACUGUCUCUAUAAACUGGAGUCUAUGGGGCAUUAUCAAAUAAGUGUGAUGAUGUUCAGAAAAAUCAGAUAACCACUGCUGCCCGCAGUAUAUUACUGUGCUGGGUUGCCAGCUUUAGGAGUAACCAGAUAAAAUCUCCAUUCACAUUUAUAGCAAAGUCAGAACUUUGCAUAUUCUAUAGAAGAAACUGAAACUUUAAACAGUAACAGGUGCAUACAGUAAUGGUUAAAUUAGUAAAAAGCUGUCAUGUCAUCUACUGAGUAUGAAGGGAUAGGCAACAUUAACAAUGCAGAGAUAUUCAGCGAAAUAUCAAUUGCUUAUGUUAUACAACAGUACUGAGGAUAGAAAAAUGUGACAGCCACAAGACAAAAAGAAAAUUAUGUGGAGGAAAACUUUUACUAAUUCUCUUAGUCACAGUGCACCUGACUCACCACUGAGUCAUUUCAACAGCGUGCCAGGGCAAGUGCACUGUUUUCAAUGGGGUUUACACCAGUGUAAAUGUUG